rnacentral:rRNA from 1 species
UACGUAGGGUGCAAGCGUUGUCCGGAAUUAUUGGGCGUAAAGAGCUCGUAGGCGGUCUGUCGCGUCGGCUGUGAAAACUCGGGGCUCAACUCCGAGCUUGCAGUCGAUACGGGCAGGCUAGAGUUCGGCAGGGGAGACUGGAAUUCCUGGUGUAGCGGUGAAAUGCGCAGAUAUCGGGAGGAACACCUGUGGCGAAAGCGGCUCACUGGACCGCAACUGACGCUGAGGCGCGAAAGCUAGGGGAGCAAACAGG